rnacentral:rRNA from 1 species
CGGGUGAGUAACACGUGGGUAACCUGCCCAUCAGAAGGGGAUAACACUUGGAAACAGGUGCUAAUACCGUAUAACAAUCGAAACCGCAUGGUUUUGAUUUGAAAGGCGCUUUCGGGUGUCGCUGAUGGAUGGACCCGCGGUGCAUUAGCUAGUUGGUGAGGUAACGGCUCACCAAGGCCACGAUGCAUAGCCGACCUGAGAGGGUGAUCGGCCACAUUGGGACUGAGACACGGCCCAAACUCCUACGGGAGGCAGCAGUAGGGAAUCUUCGGCAAUGGACGAAAGUCUGACCGAGCAACGCCGCGUGAGUGAAGAAGGUUUUCGGAUCGUAAAACUCUGUUGUUAGAGAAGAACAAGGAUGAGAGUAACUGUUCAUCCCUUGACGGUAUCUAACCAGAAAGCCACGGCUAACUACGUGCCAGCAGCCGCGGUAAUACGUAGGUGGCAAGCGUUGUCCGGAUUUAUUGGGCGUAAAGCGAGCGCAGGCGGUUUCUUAAGUCUGAUGUGAAAGCCCCCGGCUCAACCGGGGAGGGUCAUUGGAAACUGGGAGACUUGAGUGCAGAAGAGGAGAGUGGAAUUCCAUGUGUAGCGGUGAAAUGCGUAGAUAUAUGGAGGAACACCAGUGGCGAAGGCGGCUCUCUGGUCUGUAACUGACGCUGAGGCUCGAAAGCGUGGGGAGCAAACAGGAUUAGAUACCCUGGUAGUCCACGCCGUAAACGAUGAGUGCUAAGUGUUGGAGGGUUUCCGCCCUUCAGUGCUGCAGCUAACGCAUUAAGCACUCCGCCUGGGGAGUACGACCGCAAGGUUGAAACUCAAAGGAAUUGACGGGGGCCCGCACAAGCGGUGGAGCAUGUGGUUUAAUUCGAAGCAACGCGAAGAACCUUACCAGGUCUUGACAUCCUUUGACCACUCUAGAGAUAGAGCUUCCCCUUCGGGGGCAAAGUGACAGGUGGUGCAUGGUUGUCGUCAGCUCGUGUCGUGAGAUGUUGGGUUAAGUCCCGCAACGAGCGCAACCCUUAUUGUUAGUUGCCAUCAUUCAGUUGGGCACUCUAGCAAGACUGCCGGUGACAAACCGGAGGAAGGUGGGGAUGACGUCAAAUCAUCAUGCCCCUUAUGACCUGGGCUACACACGUGCUACAAUGGGAAGUACAACGAGUCGCGAAGUCGCGAGGCUAAGCUAAUCUCUUAAAGCUUCUCUCAGUUCGGAUUGUAGGCUGCAACUCGCCUACAUGAAGCCGGAAUCGCUAGUAAUCGCGGAUCAG